AUCUGAGCAAAACUUAGGAGCACUUGGGUGGAAGGAGGAAGAAGGUAUAACCAUGGGGAGCGUGUAUGAUACUGGAGGGAGCCUUCUGACAAGGGGGAAAUGGCUUCACGAGAUAUAGUAUGGUCAUAGCUAUGUGGGAGCGCAGCUAGCUAUGGUCUCCCCUGUCAAACCCAUUGGGCAGUGUUCAGUUACCAACACUGAGGUAGAGCUCACCCACCCGGGACAGAAGAGAAAAUAUGCACUGCAGUUAGAAGCCACUAUGUAGGAAGCUCCUUUCAGAUAGAGACAAGGGAUAUUUGACUUCUUAUCUCUGUUGUCCAGCACAAUGUCCAGAACACAACAGAUAUUCCAUAUGCACAGUCACAUGCUAUGUAUGUGUAUUUUCUUUCCAGAAAGGACUAGAGGUCCUAAGCUUUGUUAAUAUCAUGAGCCAGUGCCCACAUGAGCAGGAGAAUUUUAGCACAGUCACCUACACACUCAUUUCGAUGCUCUGACCCCUUAUCCAAGCCAGUCAAAGUGUGGUCUAUGGUUUUGCAUUUUAAAGAGAUCCCUGGGUGAAUCUUGUGCAUGUUACAGGGAAGCACUGUCCUACAUCCUAUGUGACAGGCUCUCAUAGUCACCAUCAUCAUGGGAAUCUUGCACAUGUUACAGGGAAGCACUGUCCUACAUCAUAUGUGACAGGCUCUCAUAGUCACCAUCAUCACGGGAAUCUUGCACAUGUUACAGGGAAGCACUGUCCUACAUCGUAUGUGACAGGCUCUCAUAAUCACCAUCAUCAUGUGAUCUUGUGCAUGUUACAGGGAAGCACUGUUCUACAUCGUAGGUGACAGGGUCUCAUAGUCACUAUCAUCACGGGAAUAUUGUGCAUGUUACAGGGAAGCACUGUCCUACAUCGUAUCUGACAGGCUCUCAUAGUCACCGUCAUCACGGGAAUCUUGUGCAUGUUACAGGGAACCACUGUCCUACAUCGUAUGUGACAGACUCUCAUAGUCACCAUCAUCAAGGGAAUCUUGCACGUUACAGGGAAGCACUGUCCUACAUCAUAUGUGACAGGCUCUCAUAGUCACCAUCAUCACAGGAAUCUUGUGCCAUGUUACAGGGAAGCACUGUCCUACAUCGUAGGUGACAGGGUCUCAGAGUCACCAUCAUCACGGGAAUCUUGUGCAUGUUACAGGGAAGCACAGUCCUACAUCGUAUCUGACAGGCUCUCAUAGUCACCGUCAUCACGGGAAUCUUGCACAUGUUACAGGGAAGCACCGUCCUACAUCGUAUGUGACAGACUCUCAUAGUCACCAUCAUCAAGGGAAUCUUGUGCAUGUUACAGGGAAGCACUGUCCUACAUCAUAUGUGACAGGCUCUCAUAGUCACCAUCAUCACAGGAAUCUUGUGCAUGUUACAGGGAAGGUGACAGGCUCUCAUAAUCACCAUCAUCACGGGAAUCUUGUGCAUGUUGCAGGGAAGCACUGUCCUACAUCGUAUGCGACAGGGUCUCAGAGUCACCAUCAUCGUGGGAAUCUUGUGCAUGUUACAGGGAAGCACUGUCCUACAUCAUAUGUGACAGGCUCUCAUAGUCACCAUCAUCACGGGAAGCUGCAUUUAGAGCAUUUAACUGUAUGGGCUCUGAAAUCAGAUGACUUAG
rnacentral:lncRNA from 10 species